UCCCUCUCAGGGUCACACCUGGAGAGUUCCCAGUAUUCUACCAGUCUUGGCUAUGGGAGGGAGAGUCAAGCAGAGGCUGACCCACUCCAUUCUUAGCUUGGCCAGUGGCUAGGGAGUAGAAGGCAAUCUGCUACAAGU